UUUCCGUAGGUGAACCUGCGGAAGGAUCAUUAUCGUACAAAUUGUGAGGGGCAUGCGAGGGCUGUCGCUGACCCAAAAGUCGUGCACGCCCGAGUGUGUCCUCUUGCAUAAUAAUCCGUCUCACCCUUUGCGCCUCACCGCGUGGGCACCCUUCGGGAUCAUCUCGGAGGGGGGCUCGCGUUUUCACAGUAACCCCCCUUUUAAAAGUUUAGAAUGACCACAUUUAUGCAAUCAAUACAACUUUCAACAACGGAUCUCUUGGCUCUC
rnacentral:misc_RNA from 1 species